rnacentral:rRNA from 1 species
GACGUAGGUGGCGAACGUUAUCCGGAAUUAUUGGGCGUAAAGGGUGCGUAGGCGGCAUGAUAAGUUAUUGGCGGCAAAUCGAGGCUCAACCUCGUGGAAACUGAUAAUACUGUCUUGCUUGAGUGCAGAAGAGGUUAACGGAACUCCAUGUGGAGCGGUAAAAUGUGUAGAUAUAUGGAAGAACAUCAAUAACGGCGAAGGCAGUUAACUAUUCUGUUACUGACGUUGAGGCACGGAAAGCGAUGGGGAGCAAAAAGGAGU